CAGGGAUUUGUAAACUGCAGGGGUUUCAUUCCUUUUACCCCUGGCUUUCCUGCAUGUCCCUGGAUCUCUUUUUGGCCCUUUGUCCAUAUACUUACUACUUUAAUACCUUUACCUCGUUUGUGUCCUUGGCCUGGUAUACAUUGAACAAUGUCCCCUCCUUAUUUAAAUGGCCUUAUCAUUUUCCUAUUAUAUAUUUUAUGUCUGGUGUCCUUCCCAGCAGCUUUUUUUGCCGUUUUUUACAACCAAUAAUCAUUUCCCAGUUUAACCUUCACUGCUGACACCUUCUCAGCAGUCUUUGUCUCCGCACCGCCCCUUCCCUUUACAUCAGCCUAUUCCCAUUUACUUCCUGUCCCACUCUCCUUUCCGUGUCAGGUGACUGACUGUCACCUGACAGGCCUUCUCAGUCUUUUCCCCAUGCUGUCUGUUUACUACUGCCCACUUCCACACUACCGGCCUAUUACGGCUCGCCUGGUCUCUCCGACCACGCCCGCCGUACCUAGGCCCGCCCCCUUACUUCCCUAUAUAAACCUCUAGCCGUCCAAACAAUGUCAGACAUUGCUGGACGGCAGAGGUACUAGUGACAUGUCUGGUGGCCACACUGAGCGCUUGUCUCUUAUUGGAGCUCUGCUAGCUCUCUACUGACACCUCUGGCCAAAUUUAAUAUGACACAUUUCUGCUAACCUCAGGUUUUUACAUUAUCAUAUGUUACUUUGUGACUAUAUGGGCCUGAGGUCUUGCUAUAUGUGAUUCUGCACCGCCGGCUUCCUUCCUCUUAAUUUCAUCCAGAGGAGUCUUUCUGCGUCCUGAUAGUGGUGUCCUUUCUCUGGGGUGUGCAGGGUUGAUUAAACGCUGUGAUUGAAAAGUGGUUCUUAUACUCGUUGACUACAUA